rnacentral:rRNA from 1 species
GUGGGGAAUAUUGGACAAUGGGCGAAAGCCUGAUCCAGCCAUGCCGCGUGUGUGAAGAAGGUCUUCGGAUUGUAAAGCACUUUAAGUUGGGAGGAAGGGCAGUAAGUUAAUACCUUGCUGUUUUGACGUUACCAACAGAAUAAGCACCGGCUAACUUCGUGCUAGCAGCCGCGGUAAUACGAAGGGUGCAAGCGUUAAUCGGAAUUACUGGGCGUAAAGCGCGCGUAGGUGGUUCAGCAAGUUGAAGGUGAAAUCCCCGGGCUCAACCUGGGAACUGCCUCCAAAACUACUGAGCUAGAGUACGGUAGAGGGUAGUGAAAUUUCCUGUGUAGCGGUGAAAUGCGUAGAUAUAGGAAGGAACACCAGUGGCGAAGGCGACUACCUGGACUGAUACUGACACUGAGGUGCGAAAGCGUGGGGAGCAAACAGGAUUAGAAACCCCUGUAGUCC